ACGGCCCAGACUCCUACGGGAGGCAGCAGUAGGGAAUCUUCCGCAAUGGACGAAAGUCUGACGGAGCAACGCCGCGUGAGUGAUGAAGGUUUUCGGAUCGUAAAGCUCUGUUGUUAGGGAAGAACAAGUACCGUUCGAAUAGGGCGGUACCUUGACGGUACCUAACCAGAAAGCCACGGCUAACUACGUGCCAGCAGCCGCGGUAAUACGUAGGUGGCAAGCGUUGUCCGGGAUUAUUGGGCGUAAAGGGCUCGCAGGCGGCUUCUUAAGUCUGAUGUGAAAGCCCCCGGCUCAACCGGGGAGGGUCAUUGGAAACUGGGGAACUUGAGUGCAGAAGAGGAGAGUGGAAUUCCACGUGUAGCGGUGAAAUGCGUAGAGAUGUGGAGGAACACCAGUGGCGAAGGCGACUCUCUGGUCUGUAACUGACGCUGAGGAGCGAAAGCGUGGGGAGCGAACAGGAUUAGAUACCCUGGUAGUCCACGCCGUAAACGAUGAGUGCUAAGUGUUAGGGGGUUUCCGCCCCUUAGUGCUGCAGCUAACGCAUUAAGCACUCCGCCUGGGGAGUACGGUCGCAAGACUGAAACUCAAAGGAAUUGACGGGGGCCCGCACAAGCGGUGGAGCAUGUGGUUUAAUUCGAAGCAACGCGAAGAACCUUACCAGGUCUUGACAUCCUCUGACAAUCCUAGAGAUAGGACGUCCCCUUCGGGGGCAGAGUGACAGGUGGUGCAUGGUUGUCGUCAGCUCGUGUCGUGAGAUGUUGGGUUAAGUCCCGCAACGAGCGCAACCCUUGGUCUUAGUUGCCAGCAUUCAGUUGGGCACUCUAAGGUGACUGCCGGUGACAAACCGGAGGAAGGUGGGGAUGACGUCAAAUCAUCAUGCCCCUUAUGACCUGGGCUACACACGUGCUACAAUGGACAGAACAAAGGGCAGCGAAACCGCGAGGUUAAGCCAAUCCCACAAAUCUGUUCUCAGUUCGGAUCGCAGUCUGCAACUCGACUGCGUGAAGCUGAAAUCGCUAGUAAUCGCGGAUCGGCAUGCCGCGGUGAAUACGUUCCCGGGCCUUGUACACACCGCCCGUCACACCACGAGAGUUUGUAACACCCGAAGUCGGUGAGGUAACCUUUUAGGAGCCAGCCGCCGAAGGUGGGACAGAUGAUUGGGGUGAAGUCGUAACAAGGUAGCCGUAUCGGAGGGUGCGGCUG
rnacentral:rRNA from 1 species